GGGUUGAUAACGGGUUGAUAACGGGUUGAUAACAGGUUAAUAACUGGUUAAUAACAGGUUGAUAACAUGUUAAUAACUGGUUAAUAACAGGUUGAUAACAGGUUAAUAACAGGUUGAUAACAGGUUGAUAACUGGUUAAUAACUGGCUGAUAACUGGUUGAUAACGGGUUGAUAACAGGUUGAUAACUGGUUAAUAACAGGUUGAUAACAGGUUGAUAAC